CAGACACAUGAAGAGUUCAAAAAUUGUAUCACCAUGAUUUUGGAAGAACAAUUUUGACAAAACAUGGAAAAAGAAAAGAAAUUUUGAUGGGAAAAAUGCAAAGAGAAAAAGAACAUCAGAAACUGGAAAAAUGAGAAAUUUUGGGAAAAUAGAAUAAAAUGAAAUAAAAUAAAAAGAUUAAGCCAAAUCCCACUACGUCCACAUCCAUUAACCACCGAACUAACUCAGAAUCCCACUACCACUGAACCACUAUACCACUAUCAACC
rnacentral:lncRNA from 1 species